rnacentral:rRNA from 1 species
CUACACGGGUAUCUAAUCCCGUUCGCUACCCUGGCUUUCGUGCAUCAGCGUCAGUAGAGACCCAGUAAGCCGCCUUCGCCACCGGUGUUCCUUAGGAUAUCAACGCAUUUCACCGCUCCACCCUAAGUUCCGCUUACCUCUGUCUCACUCAAGCACAGCAGUAUCGAAAGCAAUUCCACAGUUGAGCUGUGGGAUUUCACUCCCGACUUGCUGCACCGCCUACGCACCCUUUAAGCCCAGUAAUUCCGAAUAACGUUUGUGAUGCUCGUCUUACCGCGGCUGCUGGCAC